rnacentral:rRNA from 1 species
AGAGUUUGAUUAUGGCUCAGGAUGAACGCUAGCUACAGGCUUAACACAUGCAAGUCGAGGGGCAGCAUCAUCAAAGCUUGCUUUGAUGGAUGGCGACCGGCGCACGGGUGAGUAACACGUAUCCAACCUGCCGACAACACUGGGAUAGCCUUUCGAAAGAAAGAUUAAUACCGGAUGGCAUAGUUUUCCCGCAUGGGAUAAUUAUUAAAGAAUUUCGGUUGUCGAUGGGGAUGCGUUCCAUUAGGCAGUUGGCGGGGUAACGGCCCACCAAACCGACGAUGGAUAGGGGUUCUGAGAGGAAGGUCCCCCACAUUGGAACUGAGACACGGUCCAA